rnacentral:ncRNA from 1 species
UAUCUGGUUGAUCCUGCCAGUAGUCAUAUGCUUGUCUCAAAGAUUAAGCCAUGCAUGUCUAAGUAUAAGCACUUGUACUGUGAAACUGCGAAUGGCUCAUUAAAUCAGUUAUCGUUUAUUUGAUUGUACCUUUACCACUUGGAUAACCGUGGUAAUUCUAGAGCUAAUACAUGCGAAA